AGUCACUGACAUUAGAUACCCCCGUAGUCCCAGCCGUAAACUAUGCGCGUUAGGUGUAUCGGUGACCACGUGUUACUGAUGCGCCGAAGAGAAAUCGUGAAACGCACCACCUGGGAAGUACGGUCGCAAGGCUGAAACUUAAAGGAAUUGGCGGGGAGCACCACAACAGGUGGAGCCUGCGGUUUAAUUGGAUUCAACGCCGGACAUCUCACCGGAUAAGACAGCUGAAUGAUUGUCAAUCUGAAGGUUUUACAUGACUAGCUG
rnacentral:rRNA from 1 species